UACGGGGGGAGCAAGCGUUGUUCGGAUUUACUGGGCGUAAAGGGCGCGUAGGCGGCACCGCAAGUCGACUGUGAAAUCUCCGGGCUUAACCCGGAAAGGUCAGCCGAUACUGCGGGGCUAGAGUGCAGAAGGGGCAACUGGAAUUCUCGGUGUAGCGGUGAAAUGCGUAGAUAUCGAGAGGAACACCUGCGGCGAAGGCGGGUUGCUGGGCCGACACUGACGCUGAUGCGCGAAAGCCAGGGGAGCGAACGGG
rnacentral:rRNA from 1 species